GGGGGUAUAGCUCAGCUGGUAGAGUGCUUGCAUGCACAAGGCCCUGGGUUCAACCUCCAGAACCACCA
rnacentral:tRNA from 1 species